CUGAACGUCUGCCUUGCACAGCCACUGUGAGACUUUAUUACUGUACAGACUUUGGAUGUUUGUACAAGCAAUUGUAAAGGAGAAGAGAAGAGUUUCCCUUGCAGUUAAGGACAUCUUAAUCUUCUAACAAGAGAGGGCAGAUACAGCUGAAAAAGACUGCCUACUACCUGCAUCAAUUUGAGAAAUUUGGAAGAGCAAGUAGCAGUUCUCCAGGUUUCUUCCCAGAAAAUACUGAAGAAGGUCCAUGGCGGCAUCUAAAAUGAGAGCCAGCAAGCCCCAGAUGUGUGACAAGAUGUCAAGUUUUUUGCACAUUGGAGACAUUUGUUCUUUGUACGCAGAAGGUUCAACAAAUGGAUUUAUCAGCACUUUGGGACUUGUUGAUGACCGAUGUGUUGUACAACCAGAAACAGGUGAUCUUAACAGUCCUCCUAAAAAAUUCCGAGAUUGCCUUUUUAAAUUAUGCCCCAUGAAUCGCUAUUCUGCACAGAAGCAGUUCUGGAAAGCUGCUAAACCAGGAGCUAAUAGCACAACUGAUGCGGUUUUGCUCAACAAACUACAUCAUGCUGCAGAUUUGGAAAAAAAGCAGAAUGAGACAGAAAAUAGGAAGCUGCUUGGUACAGUUAUCCAGUAUGGUAAUGUUAUUCAGCUUCUGCAUUUAAAAAGCAACAAAUAUUUAACAGUAAAUAAGAGACUUCCAGCUCUGCUAGAGAAGAAUGCUAUGAGAGUGACACUAGAUGAAGCUGGCAAUGAAGGUUCCUGGUUUUAUAUACAACCCUUCUACAAACUGCGUUCUAUAGGAGACAGUGUGGUGAUUGGGGACAAGGUAGUCUUAAAUCCUGUUAAUGCUGGCCAGCCUUUGCACGCCAGUAGUCAUCAACUAGUGGAUAACCCGGGCUGCAAUGAGGUAAAUUCAGUGAAUUGCAAUACAAGCUGGAAAAUAGUUCUUUUUAUGAAAUGGAGUGACAAUAAGGAUGAUAUUCUCAAAGGAGGGGAUGUGGUACGGUUGUUCCAUGCAGAGCAGGAGAAAUUUCUUACUUGUGAUGAACAUCGAAAGAAGCAACAUGUUUUUCUGAGAACUACUGGGAGGCAGUCAGCCACUUCAGCAACUAGCUCAAAAGCUCUGUGGGAAGUUGAGGUAGUACAACAUGAUCCUUGUCGUGGUGGUGCAGGCUAUUGGAAUAGCCUUUUUCGGUUUAAACAUCUUGCUACUGGACAUUAUUUAGCAGCUGAGCUGGAUCCUGACCAAGAUGCAGACAGAAGGGGACUCCAUAAUACUUCAGAGAAGAUGGCAUACUCUUUAGUCUCUGUGCCUGAAGGAAAUGACAUUUCUUCCAUCUUUGAGCUUGAUCCCACCACACUGCGAGGAGGAGACAGCUUAGUCCCAAGGAACUCUUACGUCAGGCUUAGACAUCUAUGUACAAACACCUGGGUUCACAGCACAAAUAUCCCGAUUGAUAAAGAAGAAGAAAAACCUGUGAUGCUUAAAAUUGGCACCUCUCCUGUAAAAGAGGACAAAGAAGCUUUUGCCGUGGUACCAGUUUCUCCUGCCGAAGUUCGAGAUUUGGACUUUGCAAACGAUGCAAGCAAAGUAUUGGGCUCCAUUGCUGGCAAACUGGAGAAAGGAACAGUAACUCAGAAUGAAAGGAGGUCUGUUACAAAGUUGCUGGAAGAUUUGGUAUAUUUUGUUACCGGUGGAACAAAUUCUGGUCAAGAUGUACUCGAAGUCAUGUUCUCAAAGCCAAACCGAGAACGGCAAAAACUAAUGAGAGAGCAAAAUAUUCUAAAGCAGAUUUUCAAGUUAUUGCAAGCACCAUUUACUGACUGUGGAGAUGGGCCGAUGCUGAGAUUGGAGGAACUUGGAGAUCAACGCCAUGCUCCGUUCAGACAUAUCUGCCGCCUCUGUUACAGAGUGUUAAGACAUUCCCAACAAGACUACAGGAAAAAUCAAGAAUAUAUAGCCAAGCAGUUUGGCUUCAUGCAGAAACAAAUUGGCUAUGAUGUCUUAGCCGAAGACACUAUAACAGCCUUGCUCCACAACAAUCGCAAACUGUUGGAGAAACACAUCACAGCUGCUGAGAUUGAUACCUUUGUUAGCCUUGUAAGAAAAAACCGAGAACCCAGAUUCUUAGACUAUCUUUCUGAUCUUUGUGUGUCUAUGAACAAGUCUAUUCCGGUCACCCAGGAGCUGAUUUGUAAAGCUGUAUUAAAUCCAGCAAAUGCUGACAUACUUAUCGAGACUAAACUGGUCCUGUCUCGUUUUGAGUUUGAGGAGUUAUCAUCUGGAGAGAACUCACUGGAGGUUGGUGAGGACGAAGAAGAAGUCUGGUUAUUCUGGCGAGACAGCAGCAAAGAGGUCCGCAGUAAGAGUAUCAGAGAGCUGGCACAAGAUGCCAAAGAAGGACAGAAGGAAGACCGAGAUGUCCUAAGCUACUACAGGUACCAGCUGAAUCUUUUUGCUCGGAUGUGCCUUGAUCGCCAGUACUUAGCUAUAAAUGAAAUAUCUGGGCAGUUGGAUGUAGACCUUAUUCUUCGCUGCAUGUCGGAUGAGAAUUUGCCUUAUGACUUGAGAGCUUCAUUUUGUCGACUGAUGUUGCAUAUGCAUGUUGACCGAGAUCCGCAAGAACAAGUGACGCCAGUGAAAUAUGCUCGACUAUGGUCAGAGAUACCAUCUGAAAUAGCAAUUGAUGACUAUGACAGCAGUGGAACUUCCAAAGACGAAAUCAAGGAGAGGUUUGCACAAACUAUGGAGUUUGUGGAGGAAUAUUUAAGAGAUGUUGUUUGCCAAAGAUUCCCAUUUUCUGAUAAAGAAAAAAAUAAACUCACCUUCGAGGUUGUGAAUUUAGCCCGAAAUCUGAUAUAUUUUGGCUUCUAUAAUUUUUGUGAUCUUCUAAGACUAACAAAAAUUCUCCUGGCUAUUCUGGACUGUGUUCAUGUGGCAACUAUUUUCCCUAUUACAAAGGCUACAAAAGGGGAAGAAAGUAAAGGGAGCAAUGUGAUGAGAUCGAUCCAUGGUGUUGGAGAGCUCAUGACCCAAGUGGUACUCAGAGGUGGUGGGUUCUUGCCUAUGACGCCCUUGGCUGCUGUCCCGGAAGGCAACGUGAAACAAGUUGAACCUGAGAAAGAGGACAUCCUGGUAAUGGAUACCAAACUGAAAAUAAUUGAAAUCCUCCAGUUCAUUUUGAAUGUGAGAUUGGAUUACCGAAUCUCAUGCCUUCUGUGUAUAUUUAAACGAGAAUUUGAUGAAAGCAACGCACAGACAUCUGAUUCACCUUCAGGGGGCAAUAAUCAAGAAAUGCCAAAUGUACCAGGUGCUCUUGACUUUGAAAAUAUUGAAGAACAAGCAGAAGGGAUAUUUGGAGGCAGUGAAGAGAAUACACCACUAGAUUUGGAUGAUCAUGGCGGCAGAACUUUCCUGAGAGUUUUGCUCCAUUUAACAAUGCAUGACUAUCCUCCACUAGUAUCUGGGGCGCUUCAGCUACUCUUCAGACACUUUAGUCAGAGGCAAGAAGUCCUCCAGGCUUUUAAACAGGUUCAACUGCUUGUUACCAGCCAAGAUGUUGACAAUUACAAGCAGAUAAAGCAAGAUUUGGAUCAGCUGAGGUCCAUUGUUGAAAAAUCGGAACUCUGGGUAUAUAAAGGACAGGGUCCUGAUGAAGCUGCAGAUGUAACAACAGGAGAAAAUGAACAUAAGAAAAAGGAGGAAGGUCGCAGCAAAUCGUCUAAACCAGAAAGCACUAGUAGCUAUAAUUAUAGGGUAGUAAAAGAGAUUUUGCUUCGCCUUAGCAAGUUAUGUGUCCAGGAGAGUAUCUUGGUCAGGAAAAGCAGGAAACAGCAGCAGAGAUUGCUCCGAAACAUGGGGGCUCAUGCGGUGGUACUGGAACUCUUACAAAUCCCCUAUGAGAAAGCUGAAGAUAUACGCAUGCAGGAGAUCAUGAAACUGGCCCAUGAGUUUCUACAGAACUUCUGUGCUGGCAAUCAACAAAAUCAGGCUUUGCUACACAAGCAUAUAAAUCUGUUUCUCAACCCUGGGAUUCUAGAAGCCGUGACAAUGCAGCAUAUCUUCAUGAAUAAUUUCCAGCUUUGCAGUGAAAUUAAUGAGCGAGUGGUUCAACACUUUGUGCACUGCAUCGAAACACAUGGAAGGAAUGUCCAGUACAUUAAAUUCCUCCAGACAAUUGUUAAGGCUGAAGGGAAGUUCAUUAAAAAAUGUCAGGAUAUGGUCAUGGCUGAGUUGGUCAAUGCAGGGGAAGAUGUCCUUGUGUUCUACAAUGACAGAGCCUCAUUCCAGACAUUGGUGCAAAUGAUGAGAUCAGAACGGGACAGAAUGGAUGAAAAUAGUGCUCUCAUGUAUCAUAUCCACUUAGUAGAAUUGCUGGCUGUUUGCACCGAGGGCAAAAAUGUCUACACUGAAAUCAAGUGCAACUCUCUUCUCCCUUUGGAUGACAUUGUUAGAGUUGUAACCCAUGAGGAUUGCAUACCUGAGGUGAAAAUAGCCUAUAUUAAUUUUCUAAACCACUGCUAUGUUGACACAGAAGUUGAAAUGAAAGAGAUUUAUACGAGUAAUCAUAUGUGGAAGCUCUUUGAAAACUUUCUUGUGGAUAUCUGUAGGACUUGCAACAAUACCAGUGAUAGGAAGCAUGCAGAUUCUAUAUUGGAAAAAUAUGUGACUGAAAUAGUGAUGAGUAUAGUUACUACCUUCUUCAGUUCUCCAUUUUCAGACCAGAGCACAACUUUGCAGACUCGUCAGCCAGUGUUCGUGCAACUUUUACAAGGUGUGUUUCGAGUGUAUCACUGUAACUGGCUCAUGCCCAGUCAAAAAGCAUCAGUGGAAAGUUGUAUCAGAGUACUUUCAGAUGUAGCAAAGAGCAGAGCGAUUGCUAUCCCAGUUGAUCUUGACAGCCAGGUCAAUAACCUUUUCCUGAAGUCUCACAAUAUAGUGCAAAAAACAGCAAUGAACUGGAGGAUGACGGCAAGAAACGCUGCUCGGAGAGAUUCUGUGAUGGCAGCGUCAAGGGAUUAUCGUAAUAUCAUUGAGAGGUUGCAAGAUAUAGUAUCAGCUUUGGAAGAUCGCUUACGACCACUGGUCCAAGCUGAAUUAUCUGUAUUGGUGGAUGUCCUUCAUAGACCAGAACUGCUGUUCCCAGAAAAUACAGAUGCUAGAAGGAAAUGUGAAAGUGGAGGUUUUAUCUGCAAGUUAAUAAAACAUACUAAGCAGCUGCUGGAAGAGAAUGAGGAGAAACUUUGUAUUAAAGUUUUACAGACACUCAGGGAAAUGAUGACCAAAGAUAGAGGCUAUGGAGAGAAGCUGAUUGCACUUGCUGACUUGGAUAAUGCUGAGCUGCCUAAGUCACCUGAAAUGGAAAACGAUAUAGAGGAGCUUGAUCAAAGUCUACCAGAGAGACAGCUUGAAGAUCAAAAAAGGGGGGAGGCCCUGAGACAGGUUUUGGUAAAUCGUUACUACGGGAACAUCAGAAGUGGAGGAAGACGAGAGAGCCUCACCAGCUUUGGCAAUGGACCUUUAUCUCCUGCAGGGCCCAACAAACCUGGAGGAGCAGGAGGUGGGUCGGGAUCCAGCUCAACAAACCGUGGUGAAAUGAGUUUGACAGAAGUCCAGUGUCACUUGGAUAAGGAAGGAGCGUCCAAUCUAGUUAUAGACCUCAUCAUGAAUGCCACUAGUGAUAGAGUUUUCCAUGAAAGCAUCCUGUUGGCUAUUGCCCUACUGGAAGGUGGCAACACAAUUAUACAGCACUCCUUUUUUUGUCGCUUAAUGGAAGAUAAGAAAUCAGAAAAAUUCUUCAAAGUUUUUUAUGAUCGUAUGAAAGUUGCUCAGCAAGAAAUCAAGGCCACAGUCACAGUUAACACUAGUGAUUUAGGAAAUAAAAAGAAAGAUGAUGAUUCUGACAGAGAUGUGCCAGCAAGGAAGAGAGCAUCAAGGGAACCCCUGACCCAAAUAACAGAGGAAGUGAGAGAUCAGUUGGUUGAGGCCUCCACCGCAACAAGGAAAGCAUUUAACACCUAUCGAAGAGAAGCCGAUCCUGAUGAUCAUUAUUCUGCUGUAGAAGGAGCACAGUCGGUGGCAGAUAAAAACAAAGAUGAACUGGAGAUGAGUCCUGUCAUCACAAUAAUGCAGCCCAUCUUACGGUUUUUGCAGUUGCUGUGUGAAAACCACAACCGGGAUUUGCAGAACUUCCUGCGUUGCCAAAACAACAAGACUAAUUACAACCUAGUGUGUGAGACAUUACAGUUUUUAGAUUGCAUUUGUGGAAGCACAACUGGAGGACUUGGACUGCUUGGGCUGUACAUUAAUGAAAAAAAUGUAGCAUUGAUCAACCAGACUCUGGAAAGUUUGACAGAGUACUGCCAGGGACCAUGUCAUGAAAAUCAGAACUGCAUUGCUACUCAUGAAUCCAAUGGUAUUGAUAUAAUUACAGCAUUAAUUCUCAAUGAUAUCAACCCCCUGGGAAAAAAGAGGAUGGAUCUUGUAUUAGAACUGAAGAAUAACGCCUCAAAGUUACUCUUGGCUAUAAUGGAAAGUAGGCAUGACAGUGAGAAUGCAGAAAGGAUCCUUUAUAACAUGAGACCAAAAGAACUGGUAGAAGUAAUUAAAAAGGCCUAUCAGCAAGGUGAGGUUGAAUUUGAAGAUGGAGAGAAUGGUGAAGAUCUUGCUGCAUCUCCUAGAAAUGUGGGGCAUAAUAUUUACAUAUUAGCCCAUCAGCUUGCUCGCCACAACAAAGAAUUGCAAAACAUGUUGAAGCCUGGAGGUCAAAUAGAUGGAGAUGAAGCUUUGGAAUUCUAUGCCAAGCAUACAGCUCAAAUUGAGAUAGUUAGAUCGGAUCGUACUAUGGAGCAAAUAGUCUUCCCUGUGCCCAGUAUAUGUGAGUUCCUCACCAAAGAAUCUAAACUCCGGGUGUACUACACUACAGAAAGGGAUGAGCAAGGCAGCAAAAUCAAUGAUUUCUUUAUGAGUUCUGAAGACCUUUUUAAUGAAAUGAACUGGCAAAAAAAGCUAAGAGCUCAGCAUAUCUUGUAUUGGUGUUCCCGCAACAUGUCCUUCUGGAGCAGUAUUUCAUUCAACCUUGCAGUCCUUAUGAAUCUACUGGUAGCAUUUUUCUAUCCAUUUAAAGGAAUCAAAGGAGGUACACUGGAGCCCCAUUUGUCAGGCUUACUCUGGACGGCCAUGCUAAUAUCGCUUGCCAUUGUUAUCGCUUUACCUAAGCCCCAUGGCAUUAGGGCUUUAAUAGCUUCUACAAUAUUGCGAUUAAUUUUUUCUGUUGGUUUACAGCCCACAUUGUUUCUUCUGGGGGCUUUCAAUGUUUGUAACAAAAUUAUAUUUCUGAUGAGUUUUGUUGGUAAUUGUGGAACAUUUACUAGAGGAUACAGAGCCAUGAUCAUGGAUGUAGAGUUUCUUUAUCAUCUACUAUAUCUUCUGAUUUGUGCAAUGGGGCUCUUUGUUCAUGAAUUUUUCUACAGUUUAUUGCUUUUUGACUUGGUGUACAGGGAGGAGACCUUGCUGAAUGUCAUUAAAAGUGUCACUCGCAAUGGACGUUCUAUCAUCUUGACUGCUGUUCUUGCUCUUAUUUUGGUUUACCUGUUCUCAAUAGUAGGAUACCUCUUCUUCAAAGAUGACUUUAUCUUGGAAGUAGAUAAGCUACCUAAUGAGACAUUAUUGCCAGAUCAACAUAAUGAAAUUGGAGAGCCAAUGACUAGAGAGUUCUUAUAUUCUAAUAUGUGCAAAAUAGAGGAUGGUGAGAAUUGUUCUUCUGUUAUUCCUUCUACAGAGCUAGCUUCUGAAGAAUCUGAAGAGGAUAAAGAACAUACAUGUGAGACGUUGCUGAUGUGCAUUGUUACCGUGCUUAGUCAUGGGCUGAGAAGCGGGGGUGGAGUAGGAGAUGUACUCAGGAAACCAUCCAAGGAGGAACCUCUGUUUGCUGCAAGAGUGAUAUAUGACCUCCUCUUCUUCUUCAUGGUGAUCAUUAUUGUCCUUAAUCUGAUUUUUGGAGUCAUUAUCGAUACCUUUGCUGAUCUAAGAAGUGAGAAACAGAAGAAAGAAGAAAUUUUGAAAACAACAUGUUUUAUUUGUGGUUUGGAAAGAGACAAGUUUGAUAACAAGACAGUAACUUUCGAAGAACAUAUUAAAGAGGAGCACAAUAUGUGGCACUAUUUAUUCUUCAUUGUGUUGGUAAAAGUAAAAGACUCUACAGAAUAUACAGGGCCUGAGAGUUAUGUAGCAGAAAUGAUAAAGGAAAGAAAUCUGGAUUGGUUCCCCCGGAUGCGUGCCAUGUCACUUGUUAGUAGCGACUCAGAAGGAGAACAAAAUGAACUUAGAAACCUGCAAGAGAAGCUUGAAUCAACGAUGAAGCUGGUAUCUAACCUUUCCAGUCAGCUGACGGAACUUAAAGAUCAGAUGACAGAGCAGAGGAAGCAAAAACAGCGUAUUGGUCUCCUAGGACAUCCUCCUAUCAAUGUGAACCCACAACAACCAGCAUAAAUUGGAUGGGUGGUUCGUCUCCCCAUUGUAUUUCCUUCCUUCAUACCAGAGUUAAGAUCCAGUUCUUAAAGCUGCUUCAGUGUAUUCCCAGUUCAUGUAAAUAAACCUGAUUUUUUUUUAUACUGUAUGUAUAGAACUGCUCUGAGAAAGAAAGGGGCUUAUAAAUAUUGGCAUAUUAUAAGAGGAGGAUUACAUUUGUACCUUCAAAAUGUGUUUUUAUAGGAAGAAAGGCACAUCGAUUUUGCACUUGAAAAAAAAAAGGAUUUAUGUCUAAAAUAAUACAUGAUCUGUAUUUUGUAUUUAAAACCUCAGAUAGCUAGUAUUUAUGUUUUAUACAAUUGUGCAAUAUGAAUUAUGCAAUCACACUAGUUACUUUAGGAAUGUAUCCUAGAGGGAGUGCACAUUUUUGAAUUUGGUGUCAUCUUACUCCAUUUGCAAAACAGCAUCAAGUGUCCGCUGAUAUAAGCUGCUGCCAAAUACUGUUCCUAGUGCGGUUUACUUCUCCAGGCCCAAUUCCCUGUUUGAUUUUUGUUUAAUUGUUUGUUUGGUUUGGUAAAAUACAGUAUUUGAAAUAGUUUGAAGCACUGUGGCAAUAAAGCCUCCUUUUAUUCCAGCCAACAUUGAUCGAUCUCCCUAUUAAAAAAAGUUUUUUUUAAAAAAAAAAAAUUAUUGAGCUGGUCCAGCGAUCAUGGUACUGGAAAAGUUAUCCAAACGUUAAUUAAUGAAUAAAUCUUGAAGGGAAUCUUUUUUGUUAUGACAGAUUCUAUCAGGCUGGUUCUCAAUGGCUGGUAAUCAGGGUAAUCUUCUAAAAUAUUUUUCUUGGUUUUGGUGCCAUUUUGGUUGAGAAACACUGGUUUAGAAGAACCUAAAAUAAUGUAGAUCUAUCCGUCUAUCAUCUGUACAUUUUGUUACUGUAUUCCAACAGAGAUACAUUACCUUCAGUUAUACUUUGUACCAGUUAAAAAUAAACUUGGCCUUCUAGGACCCCUAGCUGAGCACUGAUUUUCCAAUACUUGUGAAAGAGCCACUAGAUAUAGAUUAUGCUUUAGUUUUUCUUCACACUUUGUUAAUCUUAAAAGAUUAUAUAAAUAUAUAUAUAAAUGUCAUCUAGUUUUGUACAUGAUCCUCAGAGAUUACAGAAGCAAUCUCUGCUUUUAAUAAGAAGCAGGGAGAUGAGUGCUUAUUAAAGUUUGUAAAUGCAAAAAUAUAGAUAUUUAAAUAAAUGAUAAAAUAAAUAUGUACAGUGUUCCA